AAUUGAAACAUCUUAGUAGCUAGAGGAAAAGAAAGCAAACGCGAUUCCCUUAGUAGCGGCGAGCGAAAUGGGAACAGUCUAAACCAAAACAAUUUCUGUUUUGGGGUUGUGGGAAGAAUAAAAUAUUAAAAAUAGAAAGUGAAACGAAGCAGCUGAAUCCUGUACCAGAGACGGUGAAAGUCCGGUAGUUAAAAACUAUAUAUUUUUAUUUUCUUAUCCCGAGUAGCAUGGAGCACGUGAAAUUCCGUGUGAAUCAACGAGGACCACCUCGUAAGACUAAAUAUUCCUAGGUGACCGAUAGUGAAAUAGUACUGCGAAGGAAAGGUGAAAAAGAACCCCUACAGGGGAGUGAAAUAGAACAUGAAACCGUAAGCUGUCAAGCAAUGGGAGGGUUUAUUUAAUUUAUAAUUAAAUAGUAUAAAACCUGACCGUGUGCCUGUUGAAGAAUGAGCCGGCGACUUAUAUUAAGUGGCAUGGUUAAAGAAAACCAUCUGAAGCCAUAGCGAAAGCAAGUCUUAAUAGGGCAUAACGUCACUUAAUAUGGACCCGAACCCGGGUGAUCUAACCAUGACCAGGAUGAAGCUUGGGUAAAACCAAGUGGAAGUCCGAACCGACCGAUGUUGAAAAAUCGGCGGAUGAGUUGUGGUUAGGGGUGAAAUGCCAAUCGAACUCGGAGCUAGCUGGUUCUCCCCGAAAUGCGUUGAGGCGCAGCGAUUAACGAUUUUAAUAGAGCUGUUUAGGGGUAAAGCACUGUUUCGGUGCGGGCUGCGAGAGCGGUACCAAAUCGUAGCAAACUAAGAAUACUAAAUAUUGCUUUCCGUUAAUCAGUGAGACGGUGGGGGAUAAGCUUCAUCGUCGAGAGGGAAACAGCCCAGAUCACUAGCUAAGGCCCCUAAAUGAUUGCUAAGUGGCAAAGGAGGUGAAAAUGCUAAAACAACCAGGAGGUUUGCUUAGAAGCAGCCAUCCUUAAAAGAGUGCGUAAUAGCUCACUGGUGAAGCGUUUUUGCGCCGAAAAUGAACGGGACUAAGCAAUCUGCCGAAGCUGUGGGUUAAAAUUUAAUAUUUAAAAAUGAAUUUUUACGGUAGGGGAGCGUUCC
rnacentral:rRNA from 1 species